AACCGCCACCGUCUCAGCCUGAAGGCGCCCGAUCUCGUCUGAUCUCCGAAGCUAAGCAGGGUCGGGCGUGGUUAGUAUCUUGGAUGGGAGACCACCUGGGAAUCCCGGGUGCUCGAGGCUU
rnacentral:rRNA from 1 species